AUUGAACGCUGCGGCAGGCUUAACACAUGCAAGUCGAGCGAGCGGCGGACGGGUGAGUAAUGCUUAGGACUCUGCCUAUUAGUGGGGGACAACAUCUCGAAAGGGAUGCUAAUACUGCAUACUAAUAGAUGAGACUAAGUCGGAUUGGCUAGUUUGGGGGGGAAAGGCAUACCAAGGCCACGAUCUGUAGCGGGUCUGAGAGGAUGAUCCGACACACUGGGACUGAGACAAGGCCCAGAAUCCUACGGGAGGCAGCAGUGGGGAAUAUUGGACAAUGGGGGGAACCCUGAUCCCGCCAUGCCGCGUGUGGGAAGAAGGCCUUAGGGUUGUAAAGCACUUUAAGCGAGGAGGCGUUACUCGCAGAAUAAGCACCGGCUAACUCUGUGCCAGCCGCCGCGGUAAUUC
rnacentral:rRNA from 1 species